AAAAAUCUUUCCGGCAGAAUUUCCGGCGAACUUCAAUACCAAACUUAUUCCUCUCUCACUCCCGAAUCCGGUGGCGAAGCGUCCUCUAAGGGGAAGAAGCUCGCCGAUCACUGAGUGCGUCUCAGGACGAGACGACUGGUUCUGUUUUAGUGGUUUGGGUCGUCAUAGCGAGGCGAAGUGUUAGCAGUUUGCAUUCCAAGUCAGGUUGUUUAUUUAUUGUUAAUCAGGUUGCAUUGUAUGAUUGCAGUGGAUCCACUAGUGUUCU